UGGGUCCUGUCCCCUGUCCCUCGCCCCGGGCUGGCACCUGCGGGUGGCAGCGGCUCUGCCGGGACGGUCAUCGCCCGCCCCGUCCCCUGCAGCCUCCUGGGCAGCGGAUCCGUCCUCGCUGUCACCUCCUGGCAGGGGCGCUGCUGCCACAUCCAGGUGAGUGUCACCGGCCUGUGGCAGUGUCCCUGCUGCCACAUCCAGGUGAGUGCCACCGGCCUGUGGCAGUGUCCCUGCUGCCACAUCCAGGUGAGUGUCACCGGCCUGUGGCAGUAUCACUGCUGCCACAUCCAGGUGAGUGCCACCGGCUCCUGGCAAUGCUGCCAUGUCCAGGUGAGUGUCACCAGCUCCCAGGGACACAGGGCUGGGUCUGGCCCCAGCUAAGCCCGAGUCAAAGCCGAGCUAACACCGGGUUUAAAGCCCCGGGCAGGGAGCAGGAGGUGCAGGAUGCCCAACUCGCGGCACUCGCCCCGGCCCCCGGGAGCCGCCUGGCCCAGCCUGGGAAGGGCCGCGGGAGCUGCCGGGGGCUGCUGCCAGCAGAGCUAACGCCGUGCCCUGUCCCCAGCUGCGCCCCCUGUUCCUCCUGGCCCUGGCAGAUUUCCUGGGUGCCACGGCGCUGCUGGGCACGGGAACCAUCCCGCUGCUGCCGGCCCCCCUCUCCGUGCCCGCCUACGCCGCCUGUCCCUACGGGCGGAUGCUGACCACGACCUCCUACGCCGUCUCGUUCCUCAUGGUCGCUGUUUACGCGUUCGAGUCGCACCGCACCGUGCUCGGGGGGCGAGCCCGGCCCCCGGCAGCGCUGCAGGUCCGUGCCUCGCCCGGCCACAGCCGGGACAGGACAAGCGAGCAGCGGGGCGAUCCGGGGCAGCCCCUUUCCCCGGGAAUCCGGGAUUUCCCCGGUCCUGGCGGAGCUGCGGCCACCCCUCCAGCCCCGGCUCACGGCGGUUCUCCCGCAGGAGCGGAGCCGCUGCCUGGAGAGCGCCUGGCAGGGAAUUCCGUACGUCCUGGCCUGGCUGGUGCCGGCGCUGACUCUCCUGGCGCAGCUGCUCGCCCGCGGCACCUCCGCCGCCGACAUCGCGCCCGUGGUGCCCUGGGCCGGCUCCAACGACACCUUCAGCCUUUACUGCUCCAGGUACGGCCCCUCCGCCCCCGCCCUGCCCGGGGCAUCGCUGCCGGGACUCCGGGGAGGCUUUGGGACCUCCAGCACCGCUCUGUCCUUGCAGCUGCCUCCUCCUGAUCCACCCGAACCAGGACAUCUGCUCCCAGGUGGGCUCUCAGGUGGGGCUCCGGGGCCGCGGGGGUCGCUGGCCCGGCUCCGCUCAUUUCCCGCUGCCUCCCAGUCCGGCGGGGGCAAGAACGCGGGGCUGGAGGAGAAAAUCAUCUUCCUGCUGUACCUGCUGCUGGUGCUCGGCUGCUGCUCGGUGAGGUCGCGGCUCGGGGGAGGCACUGGGGGUCCCCAGCGCGCCGCUGACCCCCGGACCCCCCCAGCUCCUGUACCGGCGGGUGCGGCUCCGGUGCCGGGGGAACGCGGCGCUGCCGCUGCUGAGCCUGGACAGGGACGGCGGCUUCGGGGGCAGGAGCGGCCGCAGCGUCAGCAAAGCCUCGCUGUACUUCCAGCUGGUUUUCCUGCUCUGCUGGACGCCAGGCAAGGCCAGGGGGGUGUCCCAAAGCCCCCAGCCCCACAGGGUCACAGUGAGGGUGUCCCCAGGGUCACAGUGAGGGUGUCCCCAGCUCCCCCAGCCCCACAGGGUCACAGUGAGGGUGUCCCCAGCCCCUCAGGGUCACAGUGAGGGUGUCCCCAGCUUCCCCAGGGUCACAGUGAGGGUGUCCCCAGCCCCUCAGGGUCACAGUGAGGGUGUCCCCAGCUUCCCCAGGGUCACAGUGAGGGUGUCCCCAGCUCCCCCAGCUUCCCCAGGGUCACAGUGAGGGUGUCCCAGCUCCCCAGGGUCACAGUGAGGGUGUCCCCAGCUCCCCCAGCCCCUCAGGGUCACAGUGAGGGUG
ensembl:lncRNA